AACACAAACGUCGUCGUAUUGCUCUGAAGA
rnacentral:piRNA from 1 species